rnacentral:lncRNA from 1 species
ACUUCUUUUCCUCUUUCAGGUUCUGCCCUGAUGUUUCCUGGAAUAAUGCUGAGGACUGCCUUUCGGGUAGCCGCCCUAUUCAGUUCACUUCAUCUCGGAAAUACCUGACCCCUGCCUUGGAUCCAGCGGCCCUCCUGAGAGCUGAGGAAGGAGGAAAUCCUAUGUGUCUGCUCCCGGAGCUGCCACAACCCAUCUUCCCACAACUCGGAACUUGGAAAAAGGAACCCAGGACACGACUUUGCUUUUCUUUUGGACCUAGUUGAAGUCACAGCUUGGAGGAAACCAGUUUGCACUAUUUGAUGAGGAAUUUGGCCACCAAACCACUGAUACUUUCCCAAAGGUUUGGCAGAAAUUGUUUUUUGAGUGGCUCACCAGAGUACCCAGAAGAAUCAGUAUGGAAUUAGAGGACAGUGGCCUACCCUAAAUAAAGACAUGAGUGAUGU